rnacentral:rRNA from 1 species
AGCGAACGCUGGCGGCGUGCUUAACACAUGCAAGUCGAGUGCGUAGCCCUUUGUAGCAAUACAGAGGGUGGGCGCACGGCGCACGGGUGAGUAACACGUGGGUAAACCUGCCCUUCGGUGGGGAAUAACCCCGCGAAAGCGGGGCUAAUUCCGCAUAACAUUCCGGGGACACAUGUUCUCGGACUCAAAGGAGUGAUUCGCCGGAGGAGGGGCCCGCGCCCGAUUAGCUUGUUGGUAGGGUAACGGCCACCAAGGCUUUGAUCGGUAGCCGGUCUGAGAGGAUGGCCGGCCACACUGGAACUGAGACACGGUCCAGACUCCUACGGGAGGCAGCAGUGGGGAAUCUUGCGCAAUGGGCGAAAGCCUGACGCAGCGACGCCGCGUGGGGA